rnacentral:rRNA from 1 species
UACGAAGGGGGCUAGCGUUGCUCGGAAUCACUGGGCGUAAAGCGCACGUAGGCGGAUCUUUAAGUCAGGGGUGAAAUCCCAAGGCUCAACCUUGGAACUGCCUUUGAUACUGGGGAUCUCGAGUCCGGAAGAGGUGAGUGGAACUGUGAGUGUAGAGGUGAAAUUCGUAGAUAUUCGCAAGAACACCAGUGGCGAAGGCGGCUCACUGGUCCGGUACUGACGCUGAGGUGCGAAAGCGUGGGGAGCGAACAGG